CUCACCUAUUCCUCCUUCGCCUCCAUUCCUCCGCCAUCUCUUCUCCUUCGACUUCCAUCUCUUUUCGGAGCUAUCUCCCGACGCACUCUCGAACAUAUGUCGCUGCUCUCCUCAAUCCAAGACGACUCCGGUCCCGCCUCCGUUGUCCCCACGCCCCUCUAUGGGCGAACGCGACGCUCACCGUCGACUGCCCCUCCACGGGCGACUCCGCCUCCCGGAACUUCCCUGGAGGAUCCUGUUGGUGGUGAAAGAUUUGAAGGCCGUCGUCAAGUAGUCCGGGCAGGGGAAUCCUGUUGGUGGUGUCAAUCUCACCUUCCACGAGGGCAAAGUUGGUGUACGCGAUUAUGGGGAAGAAUGGAUCGGGGAAACUCACGUUUUCGAAGGUUCUUGUUGGCCAUCCAGAUUAUGAGGUGACUGGUCUUUUUAAAGACCAGAAUUUGCUUGAAAUGGAGCCAGAAGAUAGGUCCCAUGUUGGGCUUUUCAUGAGUUUCCAGACCCCUGUAGAAAUAGCAGGUGUAAGCAACUUUGACUUUCUGCUUAUGGCAUUCAAUUCUCAAAGAAAUAACCAUGGGCUACCACUGGUAGAACCCCUUGAGUUCUACAGUUUGGUGACUCCCAAAGUUGCUGCUUCAAAUAUGAAUCCAAAGUUUGUUGACAGAAAUGUAAAUGAAAUCUUCAGUGGUGGUGAAAUGAAAUGGAAUGAAAUUCUGCAACUUGCAGUAUGUAUUCUUACUCUUCUGCUGCAUGACAAAAUCAAUCCGGGUAAGUGAUGAAGAUGAGAUUCAAACUCAGGACCUUGUGAUAAACUGUAAAGGUCUUUACCAGGUUCGUGAGGCAUAUCCGGCUAUUGUAGAUGAAAUUGAUUCAGGAUUAGAUGUCGACGCACUUCGAGAUGUAGGAAAAUCAGUUAAUGGGCUGUUAACACCAAAUAAUUCUGUCUUGAUGAUCACACAUUAUAAACAUCUAUUGGAUUAUAUCAAUCCGAGCUAUGUUCAUAUAGUGGUAGGGAACUUAUAUCUCAAUAGAUCAAGCUUGUUAAAGAGCCGCUUUAUGCCUUUAUCAUCAUUUGUCUGAUAGUGCUCCUAUUCAAUUCUUCUGUAGUUAUUUCAGCAUUUCUUGGUAGUUAUCAUUACAAUAAUUAGAGUUUGUGGUUUUUAACCUAAUUUUUGCUUGCCGGACGUGAUAGUAUACUCUAAUACAGAUCCUGUUUAGGCAACAUAUAGUGUACAUGAUAUAUUUGAGUUUUUGCUACUUGUAUUAACCUAAAUAUGAUUAGUGAUUUUAUUGCUUUCUUGCUCUACAUAAUUGUUAAAUAUGUUUGUUUUCCAAUACUGACGAAUCUUGUUAAAUUUUGAACCAAACCAAGGUCAUAAACAGGAUGAGAAUGUUAAGUACCAAUGUACCAUUUAUUGCCGAACAUAUUUUUUUCUUUGGCUUGUUUAUUGUUCAUGUGGUACUGUUCAUCAUCUUAUGUGUGAUCUGCUUGCCAUUCGGUUGUGUUUAGCAAAACAAAGUGAUAGAGAAUACUUGGAAACCACCUAAAUCUGUAGACCACAUCUUGUUUGGUCGAAGUCCUGCUGUUGAGUUUGUAAAUUAGAUUUCAAGUCAUAUAAGUCAUUAGUUUCUCAAUAUAUCAAGUGUUCUCAUUUGUUCA